CAAACCGGGAGAUAGCUGGUUCUCCUCGAAAUCUAUUUAGGUAGAGCGUCUCGUGAAUACCCAUGGGGGUAGAGCACUGGAUGGGCUAGGGGGUCCCAACGACUUACCAAACCUAACCAAACUCCGAAUACCAUGGAGUACUGCGAGGCAGACACACUGCGGGUGCUAAGGUCCGUAGUGAAGAGGGAAACAGCCCUGACCGCCAGCUAAGGUCCCUAAGUUAUCACUAAGUGGGAAACGAUGUGGGAGUGCUUAGACAACCAGGAGGUUGGCUUAGAAGCAGCCACCCUUUAAAGAAAGCGUAAUAGCUCACUGGUCGAGUCGUCUCGCGCGGAAGAUGUAACGGGGCUAAGCACAUAACCGAAGCUGUGGAUGCAUAUUUAUAUGCAUGGUAGGAGAGCGUUCUGUAGGCCUGCGAAGGUGUUCUGUGAGGAAUGCUGGAGGUAUCAGAAGUGCGAAUGCUGACAUGAGUAACGAUAAGGGGGGUGAAAAACCCCCCCGCCGAAAGAUCAAGGUUUCCUGUCCAACGUUAAUCGGGACAGGGUGAGUCGGCACCUAAGGCGAGGGCGAAGGCCGUAGUCGAUGGAAAAUCGGUUAAAAUUCCGAUACCGAUUCUUACUGCGAUGGAGGGACGGAGCAGGCUAGGCUAGCACGGCGUUGGUAGUCCGUGUUUAAGCGUGUAGGUAGGGGGAUUAGGUAAAUCCGGUUCCUCGUUAAUCUGAGACGUGAUGACGAUCUCUUGGGGCAACCCUUGAGAGAAGUAGUUGAUGCCAUACUUCCAGGAAAAUCUUCUAAGCUUCAGGUAAGAAUUGACCGUACUGUAAACCGACACAGGUGAUCAGGUAGAGAAUACCAAGGCGCUUGAGAGAACUUGGGUGAAGGAACUAGGCAAAAUGGCACCGUAACUUCGGGAGAAGGUGCGCCGGUGACGGUGAUGGACCUUGCGUCCUAAGCUGUUGCCGGUCGAAGUAACCAGGCCGCUGCGACUGUUUAUUAAAAACACAGCACUCUGCAAACUCGUAA
rnacentral:rRNA from 1 species